rnacentral:rRNA from 1 species
GACGAACGCUGGCGGCGUGCUUAACACAUGCAAGUCGAACGGUAAGGCCCUUCGGGGUACACGAGUGGCGAACGGGUGAGUAACACGUGGGUGAUCUGCCCUGCACUUCGGGAUAAGCCUGGGAAACUGGGUCUAAUACCGGAUAGGACUCCUGGCUUCAUGGUUGGGGGUGGAAAGCUUUUGCGGUGUGGGAUGGGCCCGCGGCCUAUCAGCUUGUUGGUGGGGUAAUGGCCUACCAAGGCGACGACGGGUAGCCGGCCUGGGAGGGUGACCGGUCACACUGGGACGGGGAUACGGCCCGGACUCCUACGGGAGGCAGCAGUGGGGAAUAUUGCACAAUGGGCGCAAGCCUGAUGCAGCGACGCCGCGUGAGGGAUGACGGCCUUCGGGUUGUAAACCUCUUUCAGCUAUGACGAAGCGCAAGUGACGGUAGUAGCAGAAGAAGGACCGGCCAACUACGUGCCAGCCGCCGCCGUAA